GGCAAGUAUAUAAAGAAAUUAUUAUGGAUAAUUAGCUAUAUAUUAAAGAAUAUCUAGUCAAUCUAGUUUCUAAGAGAAAUCAGAUAAUAAACGAAGUGAAUUGAAAUAUCUUAGUAACUUCAGGAAAAGAAAUCAAACGAGAUUGUUAUUUGGUGUAAACUAAAUAACAAAAGCCUAAAAACAAAACUUGUUAAAGUAAAACGGAUUAAAGUCUGUUUGAAUAAAGGGGAACCUUCCUCUAAGGCUAAAGAUGAUAUAUAAGCGAUAGUGAAAAGUACCGUGAGGUAAAAUUUGAAAUAGUAAUUUUAUAAGCAGCUCGAGUGAAAUUUAAAUAAAAAAUAAGAGCGUACCUUUUGCAUAAUGGGUCAGCAAGUUAAUUUUAGAUGCAAGCAAUGAUUUCAUGCACUUCAGGCAUGAAACUAGCUUAGAUAAACCAAUUAUGAAAAAAUGAAUAAGUAUCUAGAAUUAGACCCGAAGGCUAGUGAUCUUACCAUGGUCAGGGUUAUAAAAGCCCGAACGGGUU
rnacentral:ncRNA from 1 species